CCGACAUCUGUGUUUGAUAAGUCUUCCAGGCAGCUCUGAUGUCCCUUUAGGUCUGAAAGCCGCUAUUCUAGAAGGACUUUCCAGCCACUGCCAAGUUUCUAGAGCCUUUGCUCUAUUGAUGAAGGAAGAGGCAGCCCUAAGGGGCUUGUAGCUGGGAUUAGGGUUCCCUGGGCCUGGUGUCUGGCGCAGGAUAGAUACCCAGCAAAUGCACGUGGGUAAAUGCAUCACCAGCCCCCAGGGUUCACGACUCUGUCACCAUGUCAGGAGGACACUGUCACUUGGAUAACCCCUUGCCUGGACUACAAUAUUGGGCUGACCAGAGGCACCCUGAAGAGAGCAGAAAGAUGGCAGACAGCGACAGAGUCGGCCUGGAGCGAGUCCCUAGGCACGGGACCACCCUGUGUUCACACCUUCCACACCGGGCUUAACGUCCAGUCUCUUGUCUGCCAGCCCCACCGGACGGUGAUCAGGGGCUGUCAUCCUGUAUUUAUUCCAAGAAGGUCCUUGGUAAAAGUUUG
rnacentral:lncRNA from 1 species